rnacentral:rRNA from 1 species
GAUGAACGCUAGCAGGAGGCUUAAUACAUGCAAGUCGAGGGGUAACGACAGAGCUUGCUCUGGGCGACGACCGGCGAACGGGUGAGUAACGCGUACAUAACCUACCUACAAGUGGAGGAUAGCCCUGGGAAACUGGGAUUAAUACUCCAUAAUAUUACAAUAACUAAUUUGUAAUUAAAGCUCCGGCGCUUGUAGAUGGAUGUGCGUCCCAUUAGCUAGUUGGUGAGGUAAAUGCUCACCAAGGCAACGAUGGGUAGGGGGCGUGAGAGCGUGAUCCCCCACACGGGUACUGAGACACGGACCCGACUCCUACGGGAGGCAGCAGUAAGGAAUAUUGGACAAUGGGCGCAAGCCUGAUCCAGCCAUCCUGCGUGUAGGAUGACUGCCCUAUGGGUUGUAAACUACUUUUAUGAGAGAAGAAAAACCGCUAUUUAUAGUGGCCUGACGGUAUCUCAUGAAUAAGCACCGGCUAACUCCG